CCCUUAGAUGUUCUGGGCUGCACGCGCGCUACACUGAUGCGUUCAACGAGUGUACAACCUUAACCGAUAGGUUUGGGUAAUCUUUUGAACACGCAUCGUGAUGGGGAUUGAUUAUUGCAAUUAUUAAUCAUCAACGAGGAAUUCCUAGUAGUGGUGAAUCAUCAGUUCAUCGCGAUUACGUCCCUGCCCUUUGUACACACCGCCCGUCGCACCUACCGAUUGAAUGGUCCGGUGAAAUCUCGGGACGGCGGCUUGGUCGCUUGCGUCCGACUGCUGAAACUUGAUUAAACCAUAUCAUUUAGAGGAAGGUGAAGUCGUAACA
rnacentral:rRNA from 1 species